GAUGAAGAACGAAGCGAAAUGCGAUAAGUAAUGUGAAUUGCAGAAUUCAGUGAAUCAUCGAAUCUUUGAACGCACAUUGCGCCCCUUGGUAUUCCGAGGGGCAUGCCUGUUCGAGCGUCAUUAUCACCCCUCAAGCUUUGCUUGGUGUUGGGGCCUGCUGUAAUAGGCAGCCCUUAAAAUCAGUGGCGGUGCUUCAAGGCUCUAAGCGUAGUAAUUCUCCUCGCUAUAGUGUCUAGUGGUUGCCAGCCAGAACCCCCCAAUUUUCAUGAUUGACCUCGGAUCAGGUAGGGAUACCCGCUGAACUUAAGCAUAUCAAUAAGCGGAGGA
rnacentral:misc_RNA from 1 species